CAAGCCCUGCCGGGACCGAAGCUUCUAGUUCCACUAGGAGUACUUAUGUAGGUUUCGGUGGGGCUUU
rnacentral:ncRNA from 1 species